rnacentral:rRNA from 1 species
GGGUUAGUAGGUUAGUCAUGCCUCUGGUAUGUACUGGUGUCACUGAUUCCUCCCUUCUGAUGAACCGUUAUACCAUUUAGUUGGUGUGGCGGGGAAUCAGGACUGUUACUUUGAAGAAAUUAGAGUGUUUAAAGCAAGCUCGCGCUUGAGUACAUUAGCAUGGAAUAAUAAAAUAGGACGUUUGAUCUCCUAUUUUGUUGGUUUCUAGGAUCGACGUA